AUGGAGGUGGCCGGCAGGGAGGACGAGGACGUGGAGGAGGGCGCUGCCGAUGGCGCCAGAAGCAGCUCGACAAGAACCACCGUCACGCGGAGGCAAGUCGCCAUCGACACGGCCUCUUCGUCUGCGCCAUCAAGGGCCAACAGCUCCAGAUCCGGGAGCAUCUUCCCGGAGGCGGAGCCGGCGACUCCUGAUGCACCUGGUGAUGGCCGGGGUAGCGAUCCAGUCGACCUUCUGGAUGUUGGCUUCCUCACUAUGCUGCAACCACCUCCUCCGCAGGGACGAGUGCUACGAGCCGGCAGUUCCUGA
rnacentral:rRNA from 1 species